UUUUUUUUCAUGUUUUUUCACGAUAUUUGUUUUUUUAUUUUAUUUUUAAUUGUUUUUGUUCUUAAUAAUUGUAUGAAUGUUAUUGUAAGAUUUUUUUUUCAUAUGAGAUCAAUUUUUAGUUGAUUUAUUUAUAGGAUUUUUAAAUUUUUUUCAUAUGAAUUUUUUUAGUUGAAUUUAUUUGUUGCAAAUUUGUUUGAGUUGAUUUUCUUCUUCUUUUUUCCAAGCAUUUUG
rnacentral:lncRNA from 1 species